rnacentral:rRNA from 1 species
AUUGAACGCUGGCGGCAGGCCUAACACAUGCAAGUCGAACGAGUGGCGGACGGGUGAGUAAUGUCUGGGAAACUGCCCGAUGGAGGGGGAUAACUACUGGAAACGGUAGCUAAUACCGCAUACCAUCGGAUGUGCCCAUAUGGGAUUAGCUGGUGGGGGGGGUAACGGCUCACAAAGGCGACGAUCACUAGCUGGCCUGAGAGGAUGAUCAGCCACACUGGGACUGAGACACGGUCCAGACUCCUACGGGAGGCAGCAGUGGGGAAUAUUGCACAAUGGGCGAAAGCCUGACGGAGCCAUGCCGCGUGUAUGAAGAAGGCCUUCGGGUUGUAAAGCACUUUCGGUAGGGAGGCGUUACCCACCGAAGAAGCACCGGCUAACUCCGUGCCAGCCGCCGCGGUAAUAC